rnacentral:rRNA from 1 species
GACGAACGCUGGCGGCGUGCUUAACACAUGCAAGUCGAACGGAAAGGCCCUGCUUGCAGGGUGCUCGAGUGGCGAACGGGUGAGUAACACGUGGGUGAUCUGCCCCUUACUUUGGGAUAAGCCUGGGAAACUGGGUCUAAUACUGGAUAGGACCAUGCUGUAGGUGGUGUGGUGGAAAGAUUAGUUUCGGUAAGGGAUGAGCUCGCGGCCUAUCAGCUUGUUGGUGGGGUAAUGGCCUACCAAGGCGUCGACGGGUAGCCGGCCUGAGAGGGUGGACGGCCACAUUGGGACUGAGAUACGGCCCAGAGUCCGACGGGAGGCAGCAGUGGGGAAUAUUGGACAAUGGGCGCAAGCCUGAUGCAGCGACGCCGCGUGGGGGAUGACGGCCUUCGGGUUGUAAACUCCUUUCAGCCAUGACGAAGCCUUCGGGUGACGGUAGUGGUAGAAGAAGCACCGGCUAACUACGUG